CAUCUGUGUCACCUGUGGCACGGACCAGAUGCCGGCUUGGCCUUGCACAAAGAACCAUGGAGUGUAUAGGCCCUGGGUUCGGUGGUCUAGUUUCCGUCCUGGGCUCUACAUCUUACCCACCGCACGACCUUGAACAAGGAAAGAAAGCUCUCAGAUCCACAAUGGCCCAAAGAAGCGUAAUAACAGCAGUGGCUACCUCUGGUAGACAGAGUCACAAAGCCAGACAUGACAGGACUGUGCUCCCUUACCUGUGCUAACUCCACACUGUAUCCACCUAUGUGGAGUCGAAGCUCUGCAGCUGAACGAACACCUUCUUCCAGGCUGCCUCCUUCCCGCGCAGGGCACGGGGCAGGACUGCAAAUAGAAGCCCACGUACCGUGUGUCUGGAUAUUUACAAGCUAUAAAUCAAGCUAAAAGCUGUUAAGUAAGCGCCAUCCUCCCACUUUGGCAACUGCACCUUCAUAAUGACAAUAUUUUUUUCAAAUAUAUUUUUUAAAAAAUUGGCUUCUGCUGCCCUGCCUCAAUUUGGGACACCUUUGAAGGGCUACCCCAACUCCUGUGCUCCCCAGGGGGGCCGAGGUCUCCGUUGUAACCACAUCAAGGACCAGCUUCUCCCUUUGCCCGCCUCUUGCCACGGUCCUCCUGGAACGUCUCUGGAGAAGGUGCCCCAGGAACCUUCUGUAGGUUGCAUCGUGAAUGGUGCCCCUGGAAUUGUCCGUGGUGCAGCCUGUGAAACCCCAUCCAGCCGCACUGGGAAGAAGGCUUAAAGUUGUAUCUUCAUUCUGCUGUUUCCUUUGCUGUGCAUAAGCAUUUUUACUUUGUUGUAAUUCCAUUUGUCUAUAUAUUUUUUUUUGUCACCUCUGCUUCUGGGGUCAUAUCCAAAAAAAAAAAA
rnacentral:lncRNA from 1 species